UCAGUUAAUUAGUGUGUUUAAUACAGUUCAUAAUGGAUUAAAUAAUGCUAUCGGUGGAUAAACGGACUGUUACAAAGAGUUUGGUUAGCUAGUUAAGUAAACUAGCUUCAGGUAACGUUAGCUUGUUGGCAUGAUUCUGUCUCACAACCAGAAAAACAUACUUGAAUGUGGUUUAGGGUGGGUGACAUGGAUAUAAUUGACAGUAUUCUUCACUUUUUCGAACCGUACUGCACACAGCACUGGACCCUGAGCAGUGCAUGGCCUGCAAGAUCAUGAGAAGGCUGAAGAACCAGGAGUGACAAGAUACCACUGGAUGGUGGGGCACAUAAUUCCACUCGGACAGUGAUCUGAAAAUGUCUGUUUACCAACGGUCCCCAUCCAACCUGACAGAGCGUGUGAGGAUCUGCAGAAAAGAAUGGCAGAACAUCCCCAAAUCCAGGGUAUUGAGUGUAGAUUGAUGAGCUCAAUAAGGAUUGGAACAACAUUGACGGGGGGAAACACCCAAAGUCCAUCACUCAUGCACCGAGGAUCUGGCUGAUUACUGGAAAUUUGGAAGAUUGUUCUUUAUCUGCACUGUCACUUCUGUUAUUAAGGAGCAGUGGGCUGCAGUGAUGCGCCCAGGAAGCAACUGGGGGUUCAGUGCCUUGCUCAAGGACACUUCGACUUGCAACUAAUGGGGAGAGCGGGGAUCGAACCGACAACCUUGGGGUUGCAGGACGGCCCUCUUACCCCACUGAGCUACAGCCGCCCACAAUUAUGGACCUUUUGCGGUAUGUUUUGCUUUGACUUAUCAACUGAUAGUGAAUAAUUGGUUGAUUUUGAAAAUGUACAUUCAAUAAAAUGUUUUAAAAUCAA